CUGGUAUAGCCAAAUUAACGGGCAUCACGGGCGAGUUGCGAGUUGCGAGUUCCGUGAGUUUGUAGUCUGCUUUGUUGAGAAAUGGCUACAGAUAAAUUAAGUUCAGUGAGAGAAGUGAAUGAUGUUGUGAAUUACAGAGUUCAGUGGACUGAUAACAUGGUAAAACUGCAGCAGAAAUAACUACGUAUACAGAAUCUUCUACUAGUCUAUUAAAUAAGCAAGCUUGGAAAACGAUUGCUGCAGUUAUUAACCCUUAAAUGCCACCCGGGGUCCAGAGGACCCCAGACCCUUUACAAUUAUAUAUUU